UACGUAGGGGGCGAGCGUUGUCCGGAAUUAUUGGGCGUAAAGAGCUCGUAGGCGGCUUAGUAAGUCGGCGGUGAAAUACCGAGGCUCAACCUCGGCACUGCCGUCGAUACUGCUAUGGCUAGAGUCUGGUAGAGGAGAACGGAAUUCCCGGUGUAGCGGUGGAAUGCGCAGAUAUCGGGAGGAACACCCGUAGCGAAGGCGGCAUCCUGGAUCCAAUAUUGACGCUGAGGAGCGAAAGCCAGGGGAGCAAACGGG
rnacentral:rRNA from 1 species